GCAUACGGCUCAGUAACGCGUAGUCAACCUAACCUAUGGACGGGAAUAACCUCGGGAAACUGAGAAUAAUGCCCGAUAGAACAUUAUGCCUGGAAUGGUUUAUGUUCCAAAUGAUUUAUCGCCGUAGGAUGGGACUGCGGCCUAUCAGUUUGUUGGUGAGGUAAUGGCCCACCAAGACUAUUACAGGUACGGGCUCUGAGAGGAGUAGCCCGGAGAUGGGUACUGAGACACGGACCCAGGCCCUAUGGGGCGCAGCAGGCGAGAAAACUUUGCAAUGUGCGAAAGCACGACAAGGUUAAUCCGAGUGGUUUCUGCUAAAGAAACCUUUUGUCAGUCCUAGAAACACUGAUGAAUAAGGGGUGGGCAAGUUCUGGUGUCAGCCGCCGCGGUAAAACCAGCACCUCAAGUGGUCAGGAUGAUUAUUGGGCCUAAAGCAUCCGUAGCCGGCUCUGUAAGUUUUCGGUUAAAUCUGUACGCUCAACGUACAGGCUGCCGGGAAUACUGCAGAGCUAGGGAGUGGGAGAGGUAGACGGUACUCGGUAGGAAGGGGUAAAAUCCUUUGAUCUAUUGAUGACCACCUGUGGCGAAGGCGGUCUACCAGAACACGUCCGACGGUGAGGGAUGAAAGCUGGGGGAGCAAACCGGAUUAGAUACCCGGGUAGUCCCAGCUGUAAACUAUGCAAACUCAGUGAUGCAUUGGCUUGUGGCCAAUGCAGUGCUGCAGGGAAGCCGUUAAGUUUGCCGCCUGGGAAGUACGUACGCAAGUAUGAAACUUAAAGGAAUUGGCGGGGGAGCACCACAAGGGGUGAAGCCUGCGGUUCAAUUGGAGUCAACGCCGGG
rnacentral:rRNA from 1 species